GAUGAACGCUGGCGGCGUGCCUAACACAUGCAAGUCGAACGGACACACGAUGAGCUUUUGCCUCUGACGUUAGCGGGGGGCGGGUGAGUGACACAUGCAUAACAUACCUCUUUUUCUUGGGGAACAUCGUAGGAAAGGAGCUACUACUGCAGCAUAUGACGAACCGCAGGAUGCAGUAGUGAUUGACGGUUUUGGUGUCUCAUAUAGCUGGUUCCGGGCCGCCUUAGCUAGUUGGUAAGGUAACGGCCUACCAAGGCAACGAUGCGUAGCCGACCUGAGAGGAUGAUCGGCCACACUGGAACUGAGACACGGUCCAGACUCCUACGGGAGGCAGCAGUGGGGAAUAUUGGACAAUGGGCGAAAGCCUGAUGGAGCAAUGCCGCGUGGGUGAUGAAGGCCUUCGGGUCGUAAAGCUCUGUUGUUGGGGAAGAACAGCUGCAGGAGAAACUCUGGCCGUUUUGACGGUACCCAAUGAAUAAGCCCCGGCUAACUACGUG
rnacentral:rRNA from 1 species